rnacentral:rRNA from 1 species
ACGGGAAACCGGAGCUAAUACCGAUAAUAUAUUGAACCGCAUGGUUCAAUAGUGAAAGACGGUUUUGCUGUCACUUAUAGAUGGAUCCGCGCUGCAUUAGCUAGUUGGUAAGGUAACGGCUUACCAAGGCAACGAUGCGUAGCCGACCUGAGAGGGUGAUCGGCCACACUGGAACUGAGACACGGUCCAGACUCCUACGGGAGGCAGCAGAC